CUCUAACUCACCUCUAUCAAAUUCUAGAGAGAGAGAAACAAACACAAGUUCUAGAGAGAGUGCAUAGGAACUUGAUUUUCCGUUUGUGAUGUUUUUGGUGAUAAGGAGAGGUUCCUGCAUCUAUAAACUGUAGACUGGGAGUGGGAGUGAAGUUUCUGUAUGAUUUGUACAAGAAGAAUCAUGGAGGCAUCCUUGUAGAUGACAUGUGAGUUACACUAUAAUACAUACUUCAAAUCUCAAGCACAAUUAGGGCUGUUAUCGGUCCGGUCCGAGUAUUUGCUAUCCCGAGAACCGGACCAGAAUAGUAAUCGGGUAUAUUCGGACCGGACCGAAACAGUAAUGGACAAUUUUUUCGGACCGAAACCGGACCGUUACUUCGGAUAUCCGAUAAAAGUAUCCAAUAAAUAUCCAAUAAAGUAUCCAUUUUUGAUAUCGGAUGAAAAAAUAACCAUUCCCGGACCGAGUAACAUUUGGACUGGUCCAUAGGUCCGGUUCUCGGAUCCAGAGGUCCAAUAACAUCCCUAAGCACAAUCCUCUAUUGGUAUAAUUUGGAAAUUCUAAUGGACUAAGAACGAUCUUAUAUAAAACAUUAUGAUGGAAUUUUCUUAGUUUUAUGCUUUUAUAUGAAGAUUUACGUAUUCAAAAAUAUGAUAUAAAUUUUAUUAAUUAUUAGGGUUACACAUAGAUUUUGUUUUGUUUGAAUAUUUUGGAUAUUGGGAAAAUGAACCGUGAAUAAUGAAUUCAACGUUUGGAUUGGAGGGGUUUAGUUUUCGAUAUAGCUGGAAUUUAGUUUUUGAUUUUAUUGAUGUUAAUAUAGAUUUUAUUUGCUUAAUUGUCUUGAUUUUAAUGUCUACCUUGAAAAUUUCAAAUUUCAUAACUUUCAUGCGGGUGUUGCUUGGGAUGUUGGCUUGUUCUCUAUCCUUGAAGCGGAAGCGUUGGCGUUAAAAGAAACUAUCCAAAGUGCUUUAGCCCUCCAUCUUGAUCAUGUUAAUUUCGAGGGUUAGUAAGGCAAAAGGAUAAAUAAUCAAUAUAUUAAAAUGAUGUUAGACUAUCCUUUAGAAGCCUACGUUGAUGCCAGGUAUUAAAAUGGUGGCUCAAUCACUUAUAACUUACAAAAAAGAUGGGAAGUAUCCUCAUGUCUCUCAUAAAUCUAAUGGAGUAUGCAAAAGACAGCUUUCGAAGAUUGGGGUAGCCAAUGAAGUGGAACAUUUAGAUCUAUCAAGCCAAAUAUCUUGUGAUAUGGUGAAUCUUCAAAAGCAUGUGACAAUGAAGAACACCAAAUUCCUUCCAAUAUAGAUCCAUAUGAGGGGAAGAACGGUCCCUCAUUCAAUGGUUGUGCAGAGUCAGUAGUAGAAACGGAUUAUUUUCUAGUUUAUGUUCACGCAAUGUUAGAUUCAGAUGCGCUAUUAGCUUAUUUUAACAGGCCUGGCGAUAACCUAUUUGAUGGAGGUACCCAUUUGAAACUAAUACUCAUUAAAAUAUUUUAUUUUAUUCCAAUAUAAAAAAAAACUAAUUGAUGUGAUCUUUGUAUAGUUAAUGGGGAGGAAAUUAAUACACCUCUUGAUCAAUUGGACGCCAAUAACUUUUCCAUUUUCUAAACGCCUGACAUGACAUACUAGACUUCUAUAUGGAUGAACCAUGUCUUAAUUUGUGGAAAAGUUAUGCAUCAAAAUUAUGAGUCGUUUGAUAAUUCCAAUAAGUCAUUAAUACUAUUUUCCUAUUCUUUACUUAAGUAUUUAUUAUACUUUCUUCUUUCUCUUCUUUAAAUUUAUCUUUCCCAUAUCUUUAAUGAUAGACAAUUUUGUAAAACCCUUUAUAAUUUAUACUCCCUCCGUCCAAUAAGGAUUACAUUUCUUAUUAUGUGUGAAAAAACAAAAAUAACUUAUUGUGUAAAAAAGAAAAAUUAUGAAGGAGUUUACAAAAUUGUCUUUCACUAUUGGUACGAGGAAGAUAUACUAACAUAAUUCAAAGAAGAGUGGAUAUAAUUGGGAAAAUAGUAUUGAUGGUUUAUUGGUAUUGUAAAACGGCCUCUAAUUUGAUACAUAAUUUUUUUGAUUUUGUUGAUGGUAAUAUAGAUAUUAUUUGUUUAAUUGUCUUGAUUUAAUGUUGUUGCACCCCAAUUUUUGACCUCUGAGAUCCCAUCAUUUUUCUAAGUAUCAUGAUCAUUAUCAUUAUCAUUUAUCAUCAUGCAUAUUUUUAUUUACUAACAAAAAAAUAUAAAAAAAAGUUUGUUGCUUGAGUGUCAAAAACAGGAGAAUGAUCAAAAGAAAGCUGAAGAAAUUAGGUUUUUGAGUCCCACAGGAGGUUCAACAUUCUCUCAAGACUCAAAGGUUCCUUCAAUCAAUAUUCAAGUCCAAGGAUGGCUCAGUUUAAGGCAGACAACUCUCCAGAUCGCCUGAAGCACCAAAUUAGGGUUUUGACCUAAUUUCACUAGAGGAUUGACUUUUAAUCAGGAGAUGAUUCCAAGACUCAAAUUAUGAUUCAAAGGCCUUCAAAUCAACAUUAUAGUCCAUUCAUGUCAUUCAAUUGAGAAGAAGACCUUGAUUCAUUAAAAGAUCGCAAAACUGUUGUUCAUCUAAAAAUAGUCAACUGCAGUAAAAAAUCAAUAUUUUUUGUCAACAUCAAUCAUUGGAAGUAAUA